rnacentral:lncRNA from 1 species
UUGAGGAUUCACCAGGUUUGCGCAUUCAUGCUAACAAAUAGAGGUGAAGGAUAAAAUCAAUAAUAAAGAAAAGAAACUUACAUACAGACCAAAGAAAGAGAACAUAGCUAAGAGCAACAUUCAUAUAUAAAGAAAAAAAUAACUAUUUUCUUAAAUGUGACCUUAUAAAACUCUAAAAGUUUUAGGCCUACGAAUAAAAAGUCACGACUAAACAAAAAUAUCAGCAAACGAUCAUAUUCAAGAAAACUGCGAGACAUACUCUAUCCAUAUUAACCAAUAUCAAAGACAGGAGAAACCAAAUCCAUUCUCACACUAGUU